rnacentral:rRNA from 1 species
GACAGAGGCCUCGAGCGUUAGGCGGAAUCACUGGGCUUAAAGCGUGUGUAGGCGGAUCGUUAAGUACCUUGUGAAAUCCCCGGGCUCAACCUGGGAACUGCAUUCAAAACUGUCGAGCUAGAGUAUGGUAGAGGGUGGUGGAAUUUCCUGUGUAGCGGUGAAAUGCGUAGAUAUAGGAAGGAACACCAGUGGCGAAGGCGACCACCUGGACUGAUACUGACACUGAGGUGCGAAAGCGUGGGGAGCAAACAGG